ensembl:lncRNA
CCAGGAGAAACUGCUUUCAGCUGUUGCUCCUUUUGGUCAUUCAAGCUGUCUCAUGGGGGCUGUCUCCAAGGAGAGGACCACCGUAUAGUCAGCACACAUACCUAGCAGCCAACCAUGUGACAAUUGUGUGAUCAACUACCAAUUACCUAAUGGGGGGUCAUGAACUAUGGCCACAAUGUUGCUCCUGAAAAAAAAAAAAAAAAAAAAAAAAAAAAAUUAGUGCUCCUGACAACCAAAGCACAUAGCACAUAAUGCCAUCACCCCAGACAAAACAAACAUAAACACCCCUGGCAACCAACCACUGCCCUAGCAACCAAAAAGGCACUAUGAAGAGGAUGAAAACUCCAAGAGGUCCGGAGUAGAAUGGAUACUACCUCCACUGAACUGUAGCUUUGCAGGUCAAGGACCAACCUGCAGCCCUCUAUGGACCAAUGAGACAUCACUGAAUCCGCAGUGGUGAGUAUCCCAGCUUUACAACACAUUCACUAGGAUUUCUCUAUUUACUAUCGCUAACUUCCCCAUCUUUCCCACAUUCCUUAUCUGAUCAGAAUUUCCAAUAUACUGGUUGGACAACGUUUGGCCUCAUUAGCUGCCUUAAUUUCACUCCAAGUAUAUAUAUAUUAAAUCAAUUCCUCCAAUAAUUUGAAUGAAACAAGUAAGAACUGAGAGAACUGCUUAAUUACAGAGAUAAUCACUCUUUCUGUACUUGUGUAAUUAUACUUUCAAUACAGUCCUAAUAAAAUUUGGGUAGUAAAACAUUAUCAAACACCAUAAAGACAUGAGGAUAUCUUCAGCCUAUAUAGGAAUCUAGGUGGUUACAUGGCAGAGAUUAGAGAAGGAAAUAGUACAAUAUACUGUCUACACAAGCAUUAUCAGUGCAAUCCCUUAUGAAGAUUCUGUUUCUUAAUACCAGUUCAUUGAGCUAACAAACUGUUAAUAUGUAAUUACCCAAAAUGUUAAAGACAAAAACUAAAAAUGAAAACUAUUCAAACCUUAAUACUGGCAUGAUUUCUAAAGAAAAAUACUAAUCUGAUGUUUGUUUCAUUGAUGGUUACUUUAAAGUAGAGAAGCUACUGCUUAAGCUCAUGAAUCAAAAAUAUUAAAUCAGACUGCACAGAUCGUUUUCCUUUAAAUUAGGAAGUGCUCUGAGUAAUCACUUUCACAGUGCUGUCCCUUGGAUGACAGAAUUAAGACACUACCUGCUUUUGUAUUAUCAAUUUAUUGAUUUAUGUUCUUAAAGAUCAAUAUAGAAAGUUUCUCACCAGCAGACUUCUUAUUAGUAACAGAAGACUAUGUGAAUACCAAGCAAAACAGUGUGAUGAGAUAAAUCUCUUGAAAUUGCAAAACCGGUACGGUUAAAAUUUCUAGCAGAACAGCAGGUUCUGUAUUUGAACAUAAAAAAAAAAUAAUAUCAGUGUAAAAUAAGAAACAUACUGCAAAAUGAAAAUCCCAUUGUUCUUUUGGUAGUGUGUUUCAAGGAGGACAACAAAGCUGUUUUAUUUAGAUUGCAGUUUUUUUCUUCUUAAUAGAAAACCUGUUCUACAUAGCCCCCUGUGAAAGGGUACAAUAAAGACAGCUGGUAAAUUAGUUCAACACUGUAAGGAUGGAUUUUACUCUGUUCCUACUGACACAACAAUAAAGCUACAGCUAUGGUAACUCAUUCAAAAAUCAAUUCCUGGAUACAGGAUUUUUACAAGUAUCUUGAAGAGGUUUUAUAUUCUUCCUGAUGGUGUAAAAAUUACUGGUAACUAUUGGUAUACCUUAGAAAUGGUAAGUACUAAAUCACUUAUUCAAGUAGUUUCUUUUUUUUUUUUUUUUAAAUGUAUGUUAUUAAUAUAUAUACUAUAUCUUGUGAAAAUUUCACUAUAUUUACAAAUUUACAAAUUCACAAAUUUAAUGUAAUUUGUGAAAAGUUUAGUAUAUCUCCAGAGAAAACUUCAGUCAUGGAACUUAAAGUAUUUUGUAAUUAUAAAAUUUAUAUUAUAUACUAUACAAUAUUAUUUCAACUUAACAAGAAGUUCCAAUAUUAUUAUUUAAUACUAUUGGUUUUGAUUCAUCACUGGGUACCACAUGAAAACUGGUGGACAGAAUUAUUUGUAUUUUACAGCACAAAUACUGGAUAAUUUCUUUUAUUUAUCUUUAAUGACACGUUGAACAGUAUCUGACAUUUUUUCUAAGUUCUUCUAAAGAUUGACUGGGCAAAGGAAAGUUGGGCUACUCUUUCAUGACUUUAAGAAAUAAAAAUGGGCCUUACUUUAGUAAAUGAGUCAAAAUCCUACAAAAUUUUAAAAGUUGUUUGGUAGAAUCAAGGCAAACAUUGAAAAUGCUUUCAAACUCCUAUAGAAAGAAAGACAACAGGGCCCUUAAGAAAAAACACAUAAUAACAAGACUUCCUGAAGAGGUAUUAAUACUUCUACAUCAGAGAUGGGGAAUUGAGAUGUUUUCAUAAGGUUAUAAGGCAAUGCAAUUUUCCCAGAGAAUUCCUUCUUAACAUUUAUCUUCUGACCUGUACCACUCCACAAAGGUAACUCUGAGACCUGCUUGGAGAUGAAUAUGCAGGAAAUUUCUAAAACAAUUAGUCAUCUACGCAAUUCCAGUAAACAGUGAAGGUGGUAUGAAUAAGUAGUACAAUACUUGAUCUGGAAAUCCUGAGCUGACGAAUGUAAUUUCAAAAAGGCAGCCAAAAUAAAAACAGAUCAAAAUUCAGAAUUUGGAUUUUAGUAUGACAUACUAGGAAGAUAAUUAAUAAAGCUGACAGAAGAAUACAAAGAUCUAAAUGUGGAAGAAGCACCAAAUUUAAAUAGAAGUGCAGUAUUUCAAGAAAAGAGAAAAUUGGAAAGUGAACAGUCUGUGUGGACAAAUAAGCGGAAAAGACAGAAUGUAAUGAAUAAGUGAAAAUACCUGUAAAGAUAGGAAUAAAGGUUGAAUGAGUUACACAAAUCAAAGUCAGAAAUAUAAAUGGCCAUAAGUACAGUUGAACUUAACUUUGCUAAGUAAUUUAAAAUUACAGAAAAAUAGUUAUUUAAAGAUAAGGUAAUAGAAAAGACUGCAUAACAUGUGAAACUGAGUUUACUUUCAUAAAAUUGAAUGGCAAGAUAAUCCAUAAACUGAGGUAUUUAAAGAAUUCCAGUAGGAAAGUUUUCAAUUAAUCAUUCCGUGUAGACAUUGUAAUCUCAAACUAACAAAUAACAAAUGUAGUACUACUCUGUCAGCAGUAUGUAUGGGGAGACAAAGGAAAAACAAAAUAUCUAAGCUACUACAAACCCAGUACUUUGACUACUGUACAGAGAAAUCUCAGAAAUUAGAUGUUUGAGAUAGAGGGAAAUCAACAAAGUUUUACCAAACAUUCAAGUAUGACUGUUAUCACUCUCUUCAGAGAAAUGCAAUACCUCCAUGUUAAUCACCUAAAUUUAAACAGAGCUUUUGAUAUAAAUGCUUCAUGGGAAAUUAUCAUUUAAUGCAGAGAAAAUCGGUGUUCAUGGAUUAUAAAAUGAAUAAAUAAUUGAAUACCAGGAAAAAAAGAUCACACAAUUAGGGAAAAAAAUGUAAUAUUGAAAGGUCGAUUAUGAGAAAGGGGAUCUUGUUUUGGAACUGAAUCCUUUUAUUAUUUCUGUCAAUGACUACAUUACAUGGAAUCAUGGCAGUGAGAAAUUUCAGCAACAGUAUCACUACUGAAGAACAUAUUCUUGUCUUUCAGGAGUAAUUAGAUGACUUGUAGAUUAAAGAAAGAAAGGAAAAGAGAUUAAGUGCAAAUAUGCAAGCUAUAAUUUCAUGCAUCUUGAAAUUAACAACAAGAAUGUUUGUCAUAAGACGAGAGAGGCUAUACUUUGUUGAUCCUAUGAUUACAAGUAAUCAUUAUGAUUUGAUUGUGGGGAAAUGGAGAAAAAAGCACAAACAAAUCAGUUUUCUUAGAUGCAGAAACUGCUAAGUUUUAAGAGACAGCAAACUAUAUGUACUUAUCUGCAAAGCAAUGAAAAUGCCUCAUGGAGAAUUGUUUAUAGAUGUCUGUCAAAAACACAGUGUUUAUCUAAAGCAGGUUGGUAUGGAGAAGGGCUUCUCACUGUAUUAGAGAAAAAUUAUGACUUCUAGAUUUUUCAUACCAGUAAAAGGAAAGCUGAAAUUAUGUGUAGUUAUUCAAAAGGAUAUGAAAUAAGUUUGCAUUCUUCAAGAAUAUUGUGUUCAACAAAUCCUAAAUUCUACUGUUCACUACAGCUACAGUCAUGAUUUGAUGAGUUGCACUGAGAAUCUUCUUCAGUGGUAACAGAGUAUACCAUGGUUAGAUGGGUUCUUAGCAGUUUUCUGUCUCUGGUAGAAAACUUUUGACAAACUCAUCAAUUCAGAAGCAAAGCAUUUUGAGUUAUAUUACAAGUUCAUGAACAUUAUUGGAAGAAUAAGGGAGAAUAUGAGGUUAAAUAAUCUUCUGGAGGGACAUACUGAGAAAGUUAAUUGUUGGCAUAUUUAAGAAUGAGCAGUGGAUUGCUAUGCUUUUGUAUUUACUAUUCCUACAAGAUUCAGAAUCCAAUUCACACCAGUACAAUAUUGUCAAAUCUCUAAUUUUAUGAUGACUCUUAAUAUUUUCCCAGAAACCUAGGCCCUGGAGUCUUAAGGCAAUUAUCAUGAAGAUAAUAUGUCUAUAUAAGGAGUAAACCUUCAUUUGCUUUUAUUCAUAAAUGUAUCAGUUAUCACUUCUGCUGGUUGCUUGCCUUAACACCACAAGCAUCCAAAAUGUAUUGACCUAGAUUAGGUGAAAAAGAGGAUUAUUAAAAAUAAUAAUAAUAAUCUAUUCAAUUUAUGCUUAACAUGGUUCCAAACACUCACUCAGUAGUUCUGGUUGACAAAAAUUUUAAAAAAAAUAGAGAUAUGUUUUUUUCUGAUUAUCAGAAAAGCAACAGUGAUAGGCACAGUUAAUUCUAUCUGUUUGCUUACAACCACUACUGAAUAGCAGAUCAAACGUUUUCUCAAUGUGAAAAGUGUAGUUCACAUGCAGCUUUCAAAAAGGAACAAUUUGAAGCAAGUGCAAAAUUCAUGUUUUUAAUGUCCAGGUUAUAGCCCCAUAAAUUAUGACUUGCCCACGGAAGUUACAUUUACACCUUCUCUGCUCUUUUUACUCCAAAAGUAAAAACAGAUGAAAAGUAAUUAAGAAAAACAAAAGAAAAAAACCCACAACCUUUUGUAUCCCAACACUUUAUUGCUACAGCCAACAACGAAAUUGAAUAAAAAAUGAACUAUAGAUAAACUCUGGAGCAUUUAUUUGACAGACACUUUAGUAGAGAAAGGAUAAUACCUAUCGGUACUGGCAGGAAUCCUUGUGGAUCACAUCUGUUUCUGUUGGGCAUUGAACAAUCUGAAGGAUAAGCUAACCACCUGAGGAAAGAAAAUCAGGGAAAAAGAGGUAUCAGAGCCAUUAUUAUGAUGUCUGGUGGCUGAUCUCUUUUUUUAAAAAAGAUAGCUACAGGUAGCAUCACAAACAUUUUUCUUGUGCACCUGAAAGAAGGAAUCUUGGAUGCAUGAAUUCUUCCCUUUCACAACACAAUGUGCAACUUAAUUGCACUGGUCUUUCUACAGAUGCACUGUCCUUAAACCAGCCAGCCUUUAUGAAUUGGUUAGUAUCAAUUUUCAUAGAGCAUUAUGCUCUGAAACCAUAUACAUGCUUCACAAAAACCUUAAUUUCACUAGUCAGUACUCCAGAGAAGUCCAGUGUAGCCUCUCCCUGCAUUAAUAAUAGUUUAUGACUUAUACUUUAUGGUCCACGCUUUCUCCGCAGGAUCAGAGGUGAUAAAAUGAUGAUAAAAGACAUUUUGUGAUGUUUGCCUACCUAGGAAUUCUCCUUUCUGAACAGACUUUUAACAUUUUUAGUAUUUUCUCUUUCUCAUUUAGCCACUUACAAAUCAGAGCUAUGUCAAAGGGCAAAUCUCGUUCUCCUCCUCUGGGAUUCUCAUAGAAUAUUAUUUUGAAUUUACAUUUGAAUCAAGGACCACAGAAUGGAGGAAAACUCAGAAGGAACUAUAACAUGAAUUCACUUAAUCCUCAAAAAUUGUUAAUGUCUUAUAUACUUGUUUUCCUUUCCAUGUAAUUUUUUCAUUCAUUAUUUAAUUCAGAAUAAAACAAAAACAAAUAAACAAACAAAAAACUGGCUAAUGCUUGGCAAAAAAAAAAAAAAAAAAGUUGAAAAUUGGCUAUAUCACUAGUGCCUUACAUUAUUCUAAAGAUACAACAGAAUAUCUGAUGUCAAUAAAUUUCGUGCAGCUUGCCAAUUUAAAUUGAUGAUUUGUGACUUACUUUCUCAAUUACCACUAAAAAGUUAAAGAAAAGAAAGAUUAAGCUUCAUGAGGCAUGGUUACUUGAAGUGAAUAAUGUCUGUGUUGCUGACUUAAGGAUCCCAAGUCAUUUAAAGGCCACUGUGACUGGAAUCAGUUUGCCAGUCAAAGCCUACCGGCUCAUUUUUCUCCCCUGAGUACCAUGUGGAAUGUACAGCCACUGAUAUUUUGUAGAAUUAUAUUGAGGUGCUGAUGGGAGUAGCCUUAAAGGUGACAUGACUAUAAUGGGAAAAAUUACUGACACAGAAUCGCUGCUAAAACUCUGACAGAAGGCAAUGCCUGCUGGUCAGAGGGCUGCCAGUCUGGGAAAGCAGCCUGUGAUACAGAAGAAUCCUUGACAGAGCACUGUUGACCUCUUAGUGAAGAGUGAACUGAGUCCUAAGAACAUGAGACGAGACAUCCUGAUGAUACCACUCAUAAAGGCUAACAUAAGGAAUUGUACUGGGAACAAUUUUUCUCUGAGAAGAAAUAUAGCCUGGAAAAUAGUCUGGGAAAGUAGGAAAUGGCAAAUGCUAUUGGGUGCUUUAGCUUAAAGAAAAGAAAAUAGUUUUGGAAAGACAAUUUAUUUUUUAUUUUUAUUCUGAGAGAAUAGUAAACAUCAUAUAUUGUUUUUCACAAGUGGAAAACAGAAAUUAUCAGCAUUUUUUGACUCUGAGAGUGACGUCUUACACUUUUGUGUCUCUGUGAUGUAAGAAGGUCUUGUUUCCUAUUCAAAAUGAAGCUUCUCUCUGAGAAAUUCUUGAGCUGAUUAAAAUUUACCUCUUCCUACAGGAUUUUCUAAACAAAUUAAAACUUUGCUAAGGAUGCUUGUCCACCUCCAAACUCAAGGACGUAGAUCACCUUUGAAAUGAGAUAUCAUUUGUUAUUAAUUUGGUCCCACCGCUGGGCCCAGUCCUGGUGGUUAGUCUCUUCUGAAAUUCUUUUUCUUUAGUAACCCAUUUCUGAAGUCUGUUUGACCCCUCCCCCCCCAUGCCCCACUUCUCCAAUUGGUUUGAAAGGUCUUCAUACUGGUAACACUUUGAGAAAUACUGAUGCCAAAAGGCUAUGUUAGCUCCUUACUCCUCAACAUUUUGAGAAUUCUUGCUUUAUUGUUGUUGUUGUUUCAUAAUUUAUUAGAUGCUUAUGAGAAUUUUCAGACCCAUUCUGUCACUCUUGGUUCUUUCAUGCGCUGAGCUCUGUUUUUAAAAUCAUUUGUGACAUUAGCUCAAAAAGAAAUGGAAGUAAAAUUAUGGUUUAAUUAAUAAUGUAAAGAUCUAAAAACUUUUACAACUGUUCAGUUUUGAAUCAUUUUGUACUGUGUUGCAUUUUGUAAUAAUUCCUGAAUUCCUUUAUUAUUAUUAUUAUUAUUAUUUCUGUUUAAUUCUGUUUCUCCAUAUUUCAUCUAAAGUCUUAUUUUAAGAGCACUUUAUAUACAUAACAUGCCAACCAGGUAAAUAAGAAAAAAAAAAAAAACCUGAAAUAAAAUUUUUCUCAUAAUGUUGUAAUAGAAGAACAGUGUGUGUUUUGCUGUAACUGACUGUCUGCCUUUCUGGAACUAAAUCAAAAAUUAGCUUUUCAAUUUAUGUGACAGUAGCAGUACAGAUUGUCUUUCACUAGGCACUGAUUCCUAAAACUGAUUCUCUUAUGUUGGUUUUCUGUACACAUGCACAUAAAGAUGCUCACCUCCGCAAGGUCAGAUUGCCCAUAUAAUUGCAGAGACCAACCUCCCACAGCAUUACAGAAUAGAGAUGUGCUGAUGAUUCAGUGCAACAUUUUUCCAUAGCAUAAACCUUAGUGUAGCAUGUUAAGGUCCAACCAACCAUUACUCCAUUCAGGCAAAGCUCCAGAUCAGUGAUUAUAGUAAGGCCUGAACAGGAAAGAAAGACUGUUCACAUUUCUGUGACCUGCUUGAAUCGAUACAGACAAAAAGAUAUCAGUAAGCCUUCAGCAUACAGCUUGUUAUUUCUUCCCUUUCAGGAGUAUGUCUGUCACCAGGAGAAACCAAAUGAAUAAAUAUUUCCAAUCUUCAUUUGCACCCUCUCAGAUUUGUUGUCUGGGAAGGAUUUUGAAUAUCAUUAUUGCUUUCUGGUUUUACUUUUAUUUGUUUUGUUUUUAAGUUAGAAAGUACAUGACUAUGAUAUCUUACAAAAGUUGGGCAUCUGAGCAAGUUUUUCUGUUAUUUCAUAAAAUGGCAGUAUGAAUGAUGAUGAGAAAGUUGCUUCUAAAUCCUCAUGAGAGGAAGAAAAAUAUUUUCAUCAAUAUACACUGUGUAAUCUUUCACCUACAAGAUUAAUAUUUUCUUUGAAGGGCAAUGGACUUGCAUAAUUUUGUCAGUCAAGUCUAGUCACACUUUCUUCUUGGUUAAUAAAUCGCAGGGACAGAAAAUAAGAUCAAAGGUUUAAAAAGAAAUAAUAAUGAGGAACAAACAUGAUAUAAAUCAUUCACAGUCCAAAUGCUUUACAAAACAAAGGGAAAAGAAAGUUUUUAAUACUGCCAGCAGCAAAUCACAUUUCUUAUUUGAAGGCACCUACUUAAAUAUUAAAAAAAACUUAAACCAGUAUAUAGUCAUUAUAUUGACACUAUGUAUUUGAAGUAUUGCAAAAAUUUAUAAAAUGUGUAAAAUUUUACAGAUUAAUUUGACAUAUUUUUGCUUUACCAGUAUUACAAAUGAAAACCUGAAAAUCAUUUCAGUUGUGUUUUUCAUCUACAUACAUGCACAUAUUUUCUUACCAUUUGGAAAGUAUACAAAGGAAGGAUAAAUAUGAAAUCUAAAAUAUGCUGCAUCACAAUUCCUGUGUGACAUAUUCUCAUGGCAUUCAGAUGGCAUAAUCCAAUUCUUAAUGUGCUUGAAACAUGAAUGAAAAAAAAAAAAGGCUAAAGUAAAUGGCUUUUGUUCUGAAAAGAAGGAAUAGGUACAAAAAGUCAUUUGAGAUCCUUCAUUUUGACAUUGAAUGUAAUAUUUGUGGAAAUUUGAGACAAGAGCAGAGAUAAAAAAGAAAGUUCUGGAAGAUAUUAAGACAUUAGAAAUCCUGAGUCCUGCCUGCCAUAUGUGAACAUGAAUUACAGUAAUUAAGAAAGUGGAAAUAAAUAAAACAAAUAAAGGGAGAGGAAAAAAAGAAAAGCAGUUGAAAGCAAACUUCUUUUCUUCUUCCUUUUCCCUUUCCUUUACUUUCCUUUCCCGUUAUUUUUUUUUUCCUUUUCCUUUUAAAAUAAAUAAAUUCAGCAUUCUUCUGACUGAGAAAGGGUUUCACAUAAGGGCACGUGCACACACAAAGAAUAAUUCCAAACAGAUAAUUUAAUUACUUCUACAGUUCCCUAGACAUGGUUUCCAAAACAUGCAUUACCACAACUAUUACCUACCUCCCUAAAUUCUUCUCAUGUUCUUUAGAGAACUAAAAGGGUUUAACUAGCUGAGAACUGAUGAAUUCACUGAAGAGAUGCUAGAUUAUUUGCAACUAUUUACCUGAGAUAGAUUAUGUGACUCUGAAGGCUAGCUGAAGGUAGUAUAGCUUACUUGAAUAGUUUGAAAGGUCAAUUGAGACAAACCUAUUUGUAUUCUUCAGAAAUGAAAUCUUCAGAAUAGCACCUAUCCCAUGUAUAAUGAUGUAGUCAUCACAAAACAAACUGAAAGGUAAGGAGGAAGAGGAGUACACUAUAUUUUGCACUCCCCAGACCUGAAUGAGCAACUCAUUGCUUGAAUGUAUAAUACCCAUGCGUAAUUUUAGGAGGUAUAAACUAUCAAGAUAAUAAAAUAUUUCAACUAUAUGUACAAUCAGAAGCCAGUACAUGUUUCUAGUAGUAGUUGACUGAUCUUGAAGGAUAGGUGAAAGAAAGUAUUUUCUUACUCAUAGGUUUUUACACGAUGUCAAGACAGGAAAUAUUUUCAGCACUGUUAUAUUUUCACUGUGUAUCUGAAACAUGGACAAUGCUUGCAGUUGUACACCAAGACCAGUCAGUUUCCCAUUAUUUCAAUAUGUUCUGAGUUUACUGCCUGAAAAUGUCUGAAGUGAAACUUAUUUGCUCUGAGAGGACGUAGGCUCUUGUCUUUUGUAUGCUUUCUGGAGUGAGGCAUCAAAAAUUACACAGAGAAGCUGAGCAGUUACCUCAGGGGACUGUGGUCGAGUCAUCCUCCCUCUCUUGUUCUACCUGUGCUUUCCCCUUCUCUCAUUUGCAGGAAAGUUUAACUGCCACUCACGGUUAAUUAACGCAGGUACAACAUAAUGGGGCUGCUAACUUCAAACUAGGGACACAAUUCAUUCAAAAGACCACAGCCUGGGUCUUUCUAUUGCCUUAUGUGUUCAAGUGUGAUGUAUUGUAAAACAGUAGUAGAAACCCACAGUACUGCAACAAGAAAAGGCUACUCUGUAGUUGUAUAUGAAGAGUAUAAAACAUAUAGUAAGAGUAUUUUGUACAAAUCCAAGAAAUACUGACGUGAAAUAAAACAUUAUUUAUUACUCAGAACUAUCACAAACUGAUUCUUUACAAACUGAAUGAAAAUUAAAAUGACUUCUUCUAAUCCUUCAGUUUAAAUAUGCUGUAACUAAUGAAAAAAUAAUAAAAGAAGUAAGAAAUGUAAUGAUUUUCAGAAGCUAAAGUGUUUUAAUGACUAGGCCUCCAUUAUUUUUUUUCAGAAACACCUUAUUUUUAUUAGAAUAACUCUUCCUCCACUGAGAGAUUUCAACUGAAAACAAAUAUAUUUCAUGUUUAACCAAUUUUAGUGUUUUAUUUUUCAGUCUGCUCCCUUUAAUUAAACUGCAUACUGCAUAAGAAAAUACAGAAGAUUUUCUGAAUAUUAGUUAUGUUUCCCUUAAAGUCCCGUAGGUCAUUAAAAUAUGAUUAGCCAAAGGCUUUUCUUUGGUGGAAUGAAAAAUACACAUCAAAUACAGAGAUCCAUUUAAAAGAAGUGUAUAAUGAUUACCUUAUUGAGACUCAGUUAAUGAGAAAAAUCCAUCUCUGUUGGUUCAGCAACAUGAGUGAAGAGUUCAAUUCCCAGAGAAGCACAACAUGACAAACACAAUUCACAACACCUGGACUAUCAAGUUAGCCACCUCAUACUGAGGAGUCUGCAGGCUAGUAAGAAGCACAUGGGUAUUCCUGCUGAGUAUAUUAACUAAAGUCUCCACUUCUUAGUUAUUUUUAUUAGAUUAUUUAAAAUUAGCUCUGUACUUCAUUUUACUAAAAAAUGCAUCUAAUUUCCAUAGCAAUACAUUUGUUUUACUAACUUGUAAUAAAUGGAUGUACUAAAACAUCUUCAGAAGUAGAUUUCCAUUUCAGUUUGGAUGUGAGCAAGCAUCAGAUAAAUCUGUCCAUGAAGAAAAAGGAUAUGCAGCAUUACAUAUCAGACUUAGUAUUGCUAAAUCCUCCUUUUGAGGAUUAGCUAUAGUUCCAAUUAGAAAAAAAAUGUUCUAACCACAAUUAUCAGUUUUUGUGGGCUUAAGGGACCUAGUUUUUCAGUUAUGGUCAAUUAAGACCAUCAGGAAAUGGGGAAGUAUAUUGCCCAUUCUCUGGAAAAGUCUUUCAGUCAGAAAUGCUGUGAAAUUAUCUCACCUUAAUGGAAGUCAGACUUCAGCAACACCUCACAUACCUCAACUUACAUGACAAUGUAUUCUGAAAUAACUUGUGAUAUCCUAGUGCUGUCUUUGUAUAAAUGGUAUGAGGGGAAAAACCCAAACCUUACAGACCUUCAUAAUCAAUCUAGCUCUUUCGGUGCAACAAGUUGCAGUUAAAAAUAGUUCCCAGGUUGUGUUCAAGUUCCAAGAGCUCUAACAGUAAUCACAACAUCUGUGAACAUCUCUGACUGUGAAAGUGAUUCAUGCUAACAAGCCCACUGUUCGUGGUUAUGUACACACAAAACUUGGCAUGUUCUGAUGCAAGCAAGGAGAAUGAUUGUGAUCGACUCUGUGAGGCCCAUGGGGUAGGUACCACAUAAAAAAGUAGGUUAAAUGUAACAGGAAAACACAAAGACUUUGACUUGGUAGAUGGGCAGCUGAAUGGACUAUGCUAUGAUUUUUAAUGGCACAACCAACUAAAUAUGCAGAAGGUUCUCAAAGAAAAACCCUUUGAACUUCCUUCUUCCAGAUUAACUCUAAAUACAUGUUAAAAGUCUGCCUAAGAUUUUAGCUGUGGGAAUAGAAUGGAUAGAUGGGAACAUUUUGGCCAAAGACAACAUCCAAACAGACUAUAUAUAAAAGUGGACACAGAGAUAAAAGGCAAAAGGAAAAAUGGAAAAGAAAAAAGGAAAAAAAAAAAAAAAAGGAAAAGAAAAAGAAAAAGAAAAAGAAAAAGAAAAAGUGAUUUGAGAGUACCUAUCUGAAGAUACUUCUCUCUCAGGAAAAUAAGAAAUGAAUGAGGCUCCUGUUGCAGCUCAAACAUAAAAAGGAAGUGUAUAAGAGACAGAAGGGGUAGGAAAACCCAGGAGCAGUACAGAGAUUCUGGCUGGAGUAUACAGGGAUGGGGUUAGAAAAGGCAAAGCUCAUGUGCAGCUCAAUUCACCUAGAGACAUGAAAAGCAGCAGGAUGGGCUUCUAUAGGCAGCAAAUUGAAAAUUACAGAAAAUAUAGACCCAGUGCUGAAUAAAGCAGAAGACCUAAUGGGAAAGGACACAGAAAAGUGUGAAGCACUCCAUGCCUUCUUCACCCCAGUAUGCACCAGUAAGAACAUCCUUCAGGAACCUCGGGCUCCUGAGACCUAAGGGAAAGUCUACAGCAAGACAGACUUACACUCAGAGAACAGGAUCUCUCUGAGGAACAGUUAACAACCUGGACAAUACACAGAGCCAUAGCACAUGGUGGGAUGAACUGUGAGUGCUCAGGGAGCUCGCUAAUAUCGAUGCAAGGCCACUCAGUUGUCUUGAAAAGGUCACAACAACUGGAGGAGAUUUCUGAGGAUGAGGAGGGAGACCUAUGAGAAUGUCACUGGUCUCUCUAGGCAGGGCAAAUAUGAUAAUCCAGGGAACCACAGAGCAGUUUGCCUCAUCUGCAUCCCUGUAAAGGUGAUGGAACAAGUAGAAGUGGUUUCCAGUAUUCAGGCUAGGAAAAUUAUUAUGAGUAAUCAGCAUGGAUUUAUGAAGGAGAAAUCACUAUUAACCAACCUGAUAACCUUCUAUGACAAGAGAACCAGAUAGGUGGAAUUGGAGAGAGCAGUGAAGGUUUUUAAACUUGAUUUCAGCAAAGCUUUCAUCACUGUCUCACAAACAAACAGAAAGUAAAAAGAUCAGAUAUAUUUAUGGUACGUGAAGUGUCAUUCAGUGUGUAAGUACCUAAUGGAAUGAAUAAAGAUGAUGAAUCCAGGAUCUUCUCAGUGGUGCCUACUAGGAGAAAAAGCACUGGGUACAAAUUGUACUAUGAGAAGUCCCACCUAAGCAUAAAUAAUAAUAAUAAUAAAACAACCAUAACAACAACAACAAAAAAGCCUUUCUCUUUUCUUUAUCUUUUUUUCCCCACCACUGUGAAGUGGCCAAGCACAGCAGUAAAGCAAAGGUGAAGACUUCUUCCCUGAAGAUAUUCAAAACUGACAAGAAACUUUUAAGUAUAUGGGUUGAACUAGAUGAUUUCUAGCUGUUCCUUCCAUUCUCGAUGAUUGUUUGAUAAAUUUCUUCUAAUCAUUUUAUAGAUACAGAAAAUCAGGUCUCUCACUGUGAGCCAACAGACGCUUACUUCAUUUUUAUAUCCAAAAGUGGCACGAUCCUCUAGCAGUGUUUGGACUUUAUCAUGAGGUACUAAAUUAGGAAUGCAUUUGAAUGCCUAAUUUUAAGCAAUUCUAUCAAAGGUAGUUUCUGUAGAAAAUUAAACAAUAUUUUAAACUAGAGAAAAUUGAAGAAAAUAAACAUUUUAAUGGAUGCAGCAGAAUAACAGAUGUCUGUAUAUGAAGCAAAUAUUAUUAGAGUAAAUCAUAAUGCAUUUCACAUUUCUGCCAUAGCUAUUUUGAACUACUGAGCUAGAUAAAGAUCAUAUUUGCUUGCUAAUCAUUAUGUCACUUCAUGUUUAAUCCCCCUGCAAGCACACACACAUACAAGUACUGCAAUGUGAUUUAAGUUUCAACUAAUUACAUCUUGAAACAGUUUGAGAAACAGCAACUAAGUACAGGUAAUUAAAUCUUCAGCAGAGAAUCUCUUUAAGUUAUUAGUUGCCUGCAAAGUGCAGGUGGCUAGUACAUGUGUCCUGGACUACAGGAAGCAAAAUACAAACAAAACAGGUGAAUAGAUAGGUAGAUACAGAUACAUACUUAGAUAUGCAGGAACUAUAUAUAUUCACUAGUCCUUCAGUUUAAAACCAUGAGAUCCUAUAGGUAAAAUAACUUUCAUACUGCAGUUACAAUUCAUAAAAGUAUACCUUCUUUAUAAGAAUACUAGAACGCAUUCAAUAAAAUGUAAAGAACAUCUAAUCAAGGCCAGUGAUAUAAUAUAUCCUUGCCAAAUCUAAAAAGGAGGAACUGAAAUGAGAGCAGUAAUAAAAAAGCAGAUAAGUUCUGGUGUCCUUAUGAAUCCUGGAAGAGCUGAUAGAAAAAAUACUUUUAGAAUUUUUUUCGCUUAUGUUAUGUAGUAAAUGAAGUUAGAAGAAAACAACAUGAAGUGCAAUACUUGGUGAAAAUCUCACAAGAAACUUAUGGAAACUUAUCUCCAAAACGAUAAAUACAUUACAGGAAGUAUAAUCACAAAGCACUACAAGAUACUAAAAAUCUUAAAAAUCAUCCCUCCUUUCUUCCCCCCCAAAAAACCCUGAAAAUGAAAGUCUUGUUUUUCUUAAUAGUAAAUAGUAACUAUGAGCUAAACUCUGCCACUCUUGUCUCAGUUCUUGCUUAUACCGAGUAACAUCUUGUUCCAAAUAGUAAGCAUCACUGAAACAAGCUGUUUCUCUAUGAAAAAAUAUUCUCAAACUAGGGAUGACUAAUCAAGAAUAUUUUGAUCAGGAAGCUAGUGCAUUUUACUGCAAAAACAUCUACUCAAAUAACCUCUGUUCUUUAGAAGUAACUUUGCUGCCAUCUGAUCACUUCACGAUAUGGCAUGUGCCUCAAGAGCUUUCAGAGCACACACAGAGAAAAGACAGUAAUACCUUUUAUUGAUAAUAUGUCACAAAAAAAAAAAAAAGAAAGAAAGGAAGAAAGGAAGAAAGGCAGAAAGAAAGAAAGAAAGAAAGAAAGAAAGAAAGAAAGAAAGAAAGAAAGAAAGAAAGAAAGAAAGAACAACCACGUUCAAAUCCUGACUUUAUCUUUCUCAGUAGCUGUCUAAAGUACCAACAACAAGAAGAGAGAAGACAACGUACUUACAAUGGAGUCUUGACACUGUGGCAAGACUAAAACAAUUAGCAAAUUAACUUUAGUUUGCUAGCUCAGCUCUAGUGAUGUUUGUUCUGACAAUUUCCAGUGACAUUAAAGCCUUGGUUAGCAUGAAAAUGAGUCAUCUGCACUGGAAAAUAUCUGGAAUUAUCAUCUUUCUGGAAAUAUCUGUAAUUUGCCUUGCCGUCAGUCAUACAAUAUAAUUUGAUCCAACUUCUAUGCAAGAUUUGAUAGAAUCAGAUAGCAAAGAGCAGAAAACAAAUGUUCCAUUCUGAAUUCCUGACAUAAGGAUAUAUUGUGUCAAACUGAGAGACUGAAGGAUAGAAAUCUGGUUGGAUGAAAUUCUGCGCUUAGUGAAGUUGAUGUACUUUGCCACUGAUUUCCCUGGGGUCAGAAUUUCAUUUUCGGAUAGGGAACUGCAAAAUGGAAUGGCACGGUGAUUUAUACAGACAGUGCAAGGAGAACUCUGAAAAGAAUACUCCAGACUAACAGAGAAAUCUGAACUAUAAACCAUGGUAGCUAAUGAACAAACAUGAAAAGGAUGGAGGCUAGCACUAGUGAUUUUUAGACAUGUAGUAAAAGCCACACCCUAAAAGGCUUAUGACAGCAGCAGAAAGCAAAUACACAAGGUACUUUGUUAACAUUGAAGCAUAAUACUGAAUUUUUGUUUCCUUACUGUAAAUGUUGCAGUUGAGUUUAAGACAUUUAAGCAAGGACAAAAAAAAAAAAACAAAAAAAAAAAAACAAAACAAAACAAAACCUUUUUAUCUUAUUCACAGCUUCACAGAAUGGGAUUCUUUAAACAUAUGCCUGACACUGAUAAUAACCUUUAAUAAUGCCCAUGGAAACAGCAGUUAGGACAACAGUAAGUCCACAUAGAAACAUAUAUAUGUAUUUUUUGUGCACUUAUAAAAACACAUAUAUACCAUUUUAACUAUAUAAAUGAAUUAUUAUCUAAAAGCUUCAUACAUUUAAAAUUGAUGGAAAAAACUACAAAAACACAUAAAAAUGCAUAAAGAUGUUAUUCGUACUCUGUGCUACUUAACAAGGAAGGGCUCUUGCAACAGAAAUAGAGAUGAAGAGACAUCCAACAAGCAGAAUCUCCUCAAAUGAAAAUAAAUUAGCUAUGUGCAUAUAAUCAGGAGUAUUCCUAAGUGAUAGCAUACUCAAGAGAAAAAAAAAAAAAAAAAAAAAAAAGCGUCAGCAGGCUCUGUGAGAGCAAAGGAGCCAAUACUCAAAAACCUGUUUCACAUACUAUUAUGAAACAUAGCUCAAAAUCACUGACAGAACUUAAGAGCCUGAGCUAUAGACUAGAAACAGUGAGUUAUUACUGCUAAUGACAGUGGUGUUUGCAGCAGACAAUCAGCAUAAGAUCUGACUGCCAAUGCACCUGCAAAUGUUAAGUACUACUUUCUGUGAGACAGCUAAAAUAUCUUCUUUAAAUAAUCUUUACACGUCUGCACAGCAUGUCCUUUUCACUUUUACAGUCUUUUCUGCAUUUUAAAUCUCUUUUAGCACUGCCUGUAUGUGCUUCCAGCUGCUUAAACCUGAUUUUUUCAUGAAAGUGGAUGUAAAAAACACUCUGAACUUUUACAUUUGUUACAUUGUAACAACAAUAACAACAACAAAAUAAAACAGAAAUUUAGUUUUUAUCAUCUUGCUCACAUGAUAACAAACCCAACUACUCUGUGACCUGUUUGGAAGCCAAUGACCCCAGAACCAGGAAUUUAAUUUAAAAACAGAAACAUCAGAACUUUGAAAGUUACAACUCAGUUACUAUGUGGCUUUCUCAGCUGUUACUACCUAGACUGGAAGGAAAGUGGGAAGCUGAAGUCUUUUUGUUAUCUGGAUCCCCUGAUUUCAGGGAAGGUGAAGGAACAGGUGAUGCAUACCAAUUCCCCAGACUAGUUAGUUGGUGGGCUGUAAAAUGCUGUGUCGGUUGAGUCAUACUAAACUUUUCAAUAAAUCAGUUUAGUCUGACAUGGUGAGUACACCAUAUGCAGUCUGAUAGGUGUAAGAUUUCUGCCUACUUCAGAAAGCAGCUGUGUAAGUCCCUUGUUUACAGCUCUACUGCAGUGUGCCAGGCUAACCUAGACCUCCAUUUCUGUAUCUGCAAUUUUGCAGAGAAACUCCUGGGCAGACAGUUAUUUAUAUGCCUGAUUUGCAGGCUCCUGCAACACACAUAUAAGCCCUCCGGUCUACAGGGGGUUUUAGCAAGAUUUAUGUAGGCAGCAGCCACACAGAUUUAGGAGUCUAUGUGAACACAAUGCAUAGUAUAAUCAAUACCUAACAUAUAUUUAGGAAUCAUGUUGGUCAUACAGAUAAGUAGGAAAAAAAAAAAAGGUGUAUUAUUUCAGAAACUUUGAUCCUGAGUGUCAAUAUUUAAAGCAGCAAUAUCAUAAAAUAUUCUGAAAGUUGUAGAACUUUCUAUUAUUAAAAAAUAGAUCUCCAUGCCUAUUAUUAUUAUUAAAUAUUUAUAAAACUCAUUAACAUUGCAUGAUCCUUGAAAGCCUGUAAAAGGUCAAAGCCCUUUCCUUGAAGAUUUUAAAAUCUAAAUUAGGCAAAGAUGAGUUAGAAAUGCAUAAAACCAACAAAAGGGAGAGAUUUAGAAAAGAUUAAUUCAAACUGAAUAUAUUAGGGACAAAAAAUGCUUUUUGUAUUUCAUAGAAUCAUUUGAUUUAGAAGGGAUCUUAAAAGUCCACCUGGCCCAACUCCUUUGCAGUCAAGAGGGACACCUACAGCUACCUCCUGUUGCUCAGAUCCCCCUCCAGCCUGACCUUGAAUCUCUCCAUGGACAGGGUAUCCACCAACUUUCUGGGCAAUCUGUUCCAGUGCUUCCUUACUGAAGAGUGAGAACAGGACCCUGCAGUUAUAGAGAGAAGGGCCUCACAGCAAGAAAAGGGAAAGUAGCUUCACAAAGUAGAAAUAAGGGGCAAAUAGAGAUAGGUUAGGUGGAGAGUGUUAGAAAACAAGGGAUUCCAAGCACUUUCACAGACACUAGGUCUGGAAUAACAAGGAGGAUGAAGGCCAUAAAUAUAAGGACUGGAGAGCAGCUUGAAAACAUUUGGCAGGGAGGUGAUUAGAUGUCUACAGGGCAAGCUGAAGCUGGUUCGGGGGAUGCCCCCCCUUCGGGAUCAGAAGUUUGCAGUGAGAAAGACUACGAGCCUUCGCGAGGAAGACUAUGAGCUUUCAUCAUCACAACUUACUACACAAGCGCAAGGGGGGAGGGACUGCAUGCUAAUGGGCUCUCAGGAAUGUAAUGAAUAUGUAUCCGAAUUCCUGUCAACUAUUGAUUAUGUAUUAGUUCAACCUAUAUCUAUAGCACGAUUUCUCCUGACAGUGUGCAGGUUAGGUGGAACGAUCCCCCUUGCACCAGGAUGUAUGCACGUCACCAAUAAACACAUCCUUACUCUGCUCUACAUCCUUACUGGCUAUAGGGUCUGAUUUCUGCACAUCAUUACAUCCAAUCUAAAUGUGCCGUCUUUUUGUUUCAAACCAUUUCCCCUUGUAUUAUCACAAUAGACCUGUGAAAGAGUCUCUCUCUUUCUCAUGGCCCCCCUUUAGAUACUAAAAGGCAACUUGCAGGUUUCCCUGGAGCCUUCUCUUCUUCAAUCUGAACAGCCUCAGCUCUCUCAGCCUGUCCACACAGGGGAAGAGUUCCAUCCCUUGGAUCAUUUUAGUGGCCCUCUGGAUGUGCUCCAACAGGUUCGUGUCUCUUCUGUUCAAGAACUGGAUGUAUUACUACAGAUGAAGUCCCACAAGUGCAGAGCAGAGGGGAAGGAUCAGCUCCCUCACCCUGCUGGUCACGUUUCUUUUGAUACAGCACAGGAUAUGGUUGACUUUAUGGACUGUGAGGGCAUACUGCUGGCUCACAUCCAGCUUCUCAUCCACCAGCACUCCCAACUUCUUUUCAGCAUGGCUGUGCUCUUGUUCUUUCACCUUUCAACAUGUAUUGACAGUGGGGAUUGCUGAGACAAAAGUGCAAGACCUUGCAUUUUGAAUUACUUGAACCUCAUGAUGUUCAUGGCACAGUGAUUGAAAGCAAGACUGGAAAGAUGGCCUGGGAUGAAAAACCAUGAAUGCAAUCAAGCAGGUUACAUAUAGAAUGCACAUAUUCAAACAACAAACAAACAAACAAAACAAAACAAAAAACAAUCAGAGCAAUAGAGAAACCAGAAAGUUGAAACAAUAUUUAAAAGAAAUUUGAGCUCCCAAUCAUCUGAUGCCAUUUUUCCUGCUACAAGAAGUUGUAGUUGGAAGGCUGACUUUUUUUUGGUAGAUAUUACCAUAAAUUUACUCUUCUCAAAAUGAACAUGCAGCAUCAUGUCUAUCAUAAUAAGAUACUACAAAGAUAUUUCUUUGGUUCAGAAAGUACCUGCUCAGAAAGUGCCCACAUCAUAUAGUUUCCUAGAUGCUGAAUUCAAUUUCAGUGGAAACAUCAUUCUGCGCUUGCCUUAUGCUUAGAGUUUCCUUCAGGCAUGACGAACCAGAUGUCCAAGAUAAGAAACAGUGCUGGGAAAACCUCCACCUGAGCUGUACCUAUUUUCUUGUUUCCAAUAUGAAGAAGAAAAAUAGAAGCAGCCUUUUAGUUACUCAGUGAAAGGAGAUAUUUUGAAAGAGUAUUUGUUACGACUCUUUCGCUCUUCAGAAAAAUACAGAAGACAGCAAAUUUACUUCUCUAGCCAGCUACCAAUGAAGCAAAGAUUACUAAAAAUUUUGUCAUAAAAGUAUUAAAAAGUGCCAGGAGUUCAGCAUCUAAUGCAAAGGAUAAGGGCUGUGGAAAUGUUUUCAUUCUUGGAUAGCGCAAUUUGCUGCAACACUGACUGGUUUACCAAAGUACAACAUUAUAAAUUAACUACCAAGUCUGCUCGGAAAGAUAAUGUGGUCCAGUAGACGAGUAAUUGGAAUUGUCCCAGAGAGGACAGAAGAGUAGAUGACAAAUAAAUGAGUCCAUGUCAUUUGCAGUGAACUACAUUUUGUUUCAGUGAACAAAUGUGCUACAAGUUUUCAGUCUGACUCCUCAAGAGGAGGGGAAAUACCUGAAUAACUCUCAGGUAAGCACAAAGGAAACAUUCUCAUACUUCUGCUUUCAUGGGUACAGAGAAUUAAAAAAUGAACAAAGAGAAGAGAACCACAGAAUUCAGCUCAGGGCACUAAUGGCAGGGCAAAAGAUAAAAGCUCUUAAAAUUAGUGUGUCUAACUCAUAGAUUAAGAAAGGAAAUAAACUGUAUGAAUAUAUAUAUAUUUUCUGGUACACUGGAAAGCCACUUGAUGAAAAGUUGAUUACUGUUCAUUCACAGUAGAAGUGAAGAAAUGUAACUGAUAUAUUUAAGAUACCAAUAAUUAACUAACUAAAGAAAUACAAAGGCCAUCGGUUGCCUUUGCAACAAGGGUAAUCAGCAUUUUUUUGUAGUUAUGGAUCCUGACUUUUCCUUGAUUCCCUGAACAUACAAUUCCUCACACCUGGACUUCAGGCAAAUCUGCCUUGUUUACAAGUUAGAUUGCAGUGUUUAUUGUUUACAAAACCUAAUACAUACAAAUAUACACAAAUAUAGGAAGUCUUCUAAACAUAGAAGAUUCACACUUUAAAACAUUCUACUUUCUAUUGUGUUUGCAUAGAGUUCAUAUAUCAAGAUCAAUCACCACAAAUGAAUGAUUUCUAGAUGGAUUUCUGUAGCUAUGGACUUGUCCUCAUACAUUGUUGGAAUCAAAGAAAUCCUGCCACAGACAUUCUGAAGAAUGCUGGUCAUUUUACUAUACUGAUAAAUUAGGGCAUAGAACAGUAUAAUUUGUAUGUAUUAUCCUACAGAAUAAUAGAGAAUUAGAGUAACUACUUCUUAGUCACUGUCUGGAUUAAACCUGUGAGGGAGUGGUUUACUUAAUGUAUUUUAACUUACAUAAGUCAUUCAGAAUGUAAUAGCUCCUAUUUAUUUCCAUGAAAACUGCAACAGAUUCAAAGAGCAUAAUUACAUGAUAUUAUAGAGGAAAUUCUCAACUACAAAACACUAUUUUUCAACAUAGUCACCAUCAUUAGGCAAUUUGCUCUUCAUCUUUUGAUGUGACAACUGUGCAUUGCUGUGUGGAACAUGGUUUGUCUUUCACAUUACUGCAACCAUGGCACCAUCUGCUUCAGCUCUCACAUGCACUGUUUUGGUCUCAACAGUCAUUGAUUAAUGUCAGUGGAUGUCAUUUUUUCCACAUGGAGGAAUUCAGUGACACACCUUUGCCUCAUAUGCACCACUGUGUCAGACACCACUUUUGUCAGACUUCCCCUCUGCUGCCACUUGUCACACAGCAACAAAAUGUAACAGAAUAUUGGUGGUAAGGUUUAGCCUCUUCACUGACAUAUCACCAAUAUCCACCUCUGACAUUAUGAGCAAACAUAAUAAAAUAGGAGAAUCACUUUCAAAGCAGCACUCACAUGGUUUUAAGAGCUUGACAUGCAGAAAAAAAAGAAAAAGAGAAAAAAAAAUGGGUUUUAACUUUAUAAAUGAAAAUAAUUAAUAUGUAAAGCAGCUAUUUCCCAUGAAGCAAAACAAGACAUACAUUACUAUAAAUGUGUUGGAUUUUACUUCUAUCAGUGACUCAUAAAUCACUGUGCAUUUGCUCCUCUCUGAAUGUAUAUUUAUUAGCAAUACAUGUAGGUGGAACAUUAUAUCAAAGUCUACAGUUGCGGAAAGGUAUUCAAAAGGUACAAUGAAUUCCUAUAUGUUAAUAUGAUUUUAGUGUAUUUUUAGCAUUCUACAUAUUCUUAAUUACAUAGAACAAAUGUUGUAUGGAUAUUUCAGAAUUCUGAGCUACAAAAUCUCCAAAGCGUGCAGAGAUUAGGAGAGGGGGGUAGUUGAAUAAAAAGGGAGAACUCAGGACAAUGGUUUAGAUAUGACUUUAUUUCAGUUUGUUACAUUAAACACAGAACAUGUUUGAAAUGAAGGUUUGGAAUGUAUUUCCACGUGGUUGCUUGUGAUGACAAAAAUAAGCAAAUGGUAGAUGUGCAUAAAAUGAGGACAAUUUGAUUAGCAUAAUAUGGACAGCCCUCCAAGUCCAGGAUAUUGUAGGCAUGUAGCAAAAUCUUAUCCAUAGGAAUUAUAAUUUUUAAUAGCAUAAAGAAAUUUUAGUUUUGUAUUUUCUGCAAAGGAUCAAAUAAUCCCAAAGCAAACUAUUUGCAUUUACUGCUUAACCUGUACUUACUACUUCUGCGAGAGCUUUCCUACCUGUAUGCUUUAAUUUAUAUAGAUAAGCUUUUCUUAUAGCACACACAGGUGAUCUAAACUCAAAGUUCUAACUUGAGCCUUUCAUUUUUAUAUAUGCUGUACCUACAUAAAGGUACUCAGCUACCUAAACCAUCUGUAACUUAAAAAUGGUUAGUAUAAAACAUAACAAAUACUGAUGUAUAAAAUCCACAUAAAAUAACAGUUCAAAAUGCCUAUAAAGGAUACAGAUGAAGAAAUUCAAACAAAAAUAACUGCUUAGAUUAGUUACCUCAAAAAUCCUUUCUUAUCCUCAUUCAGUUACCAUGCUGUCCUCCAAAUAUCUUUUUUUUUUUUUUUUUUUUUUUUUUUUCUUUCCUGGAAGAGUAUGAACAGAUUUCAAGCUUUGUCCCAGAUUUAACUACUAUGAAGUCUACCAGAAACCUCCUGGAAGGAAAAUCCAUCUCCUGCAUCACUUUAAUUAGAGGACAUCUUCAGUAAUACUUAUCCAACUGCCUUUGGGUUCAUGUGGCAAACACUGACUUAAAGAAGGUCCCUUUGGCAGCAUUAUGUUCUCAAACUAAAGAAAGGAAUCAUCUUGACAUAGACCUCAGCUUCCCUGCUCUAUGCAGCCAGUACAGCUGGACAGACACUGGAGGCACAUAAUCCAACAAGAAGCACACAAAGGCUCUGAACACAGAAGAGAAAGGCCUACCAUGCUACUCUGGCUGACACAGUCUGAGAAAGCGUUCAGAUGCAACAAGGACAGGUUUAUUAUUUGGCUGGAAUUAUUGAAAAGUAAUUGUAAAAUAGAUUCUAGAGAAAGUAUUAAAAAAGUAUUAAAGUAUUAAAAUAUUUUGUUACUUAACACUGAGGACAAAAUAAAAGCAAUUGAUAGAUCUGGGAGCUUAGCAUGAGUAAAUAAUGAAAACUUAAGGCUUAUCCAAUUGCUCUCAUGAACUGCUAGUGAAGGGGUAGAAUAUGAGCUGCAGGAAAACGUCUUCAUCUAAAGGUGAACAAAGGCACUAUCAGUAAAGGCAGGAUCGGUUUAGCUCCAGCAGGACCCACCAAAAUAUGGCCGUCUGGCUCCACCACAGAGCCUACAGCCCAUGGUUAAUAAACGCAUAGCUAUAUAUUUCAUUUACUCCAUCUUCAUGGUUAAAAAAAAUUUUGCAAAAUCUGUAUGGGAUUCCAAAUGAAUACAAUUGAGGGAACUUGCAUAAAUGUCUAGCCACAUAUGUAUAAAUACAGUCUCCUUUUAUUAAUGUCUUUCACUACUUCUUAGGCUGUUUAAAUGAAGCAUUUAAUAAACUAAAUUAAAACAUUCCCAUCCCUGCGCUUCUCAGAUAACAUUGCAUAUAAUCAGAAGAAUAACCCAUAGAAGAACUUAUCACCUACUCCUUGAAAUGCCUUUGUUAAGAAAAAGAAAUUUAAUCCCUUCCUAAUUAUCAUUUUAUUUGGGUCAUUUGAAUUUAGGGAACUUGCUCUUCCUUUGUCCUUGUUCUAGUUUCCUCUGAGAUAAUUUUCUUCAUAGUGAUUGGUAUGAUGCUAUGUUUUCGAUUUAGGAUGAGAAUAAUGUUGAUAACACACCAAUAUUUUAGUUGUUGCUGAGUGGUGCUGCACAAAGUCAAGGACAUUUCUGCUUCUCACAGUGCCAUGCCAGCAAGGAGAUUGGAGAAGCUGAUCUAAUCUGGCCAAAGUGAUUUCUCAUACCACGUGGCAUUGUGCUGGAAAAUAAAAUUGAGGGGAGUUGGUCAGGGGAUUGCUCUGGCUGGGCAUCAGUUGGCAGUGAUGAGCAAUUGCAUUUUGCAUCAUUUAAAAAAAAUAUUUUUCUAUCAUUACUAUCUUAUCUGUCCUUUCAAACCGUCUUCAUCUCAACCUAUGUGUUUUACCCUUUUCUAAUUCUCUUUACCCAACACACUGUAAAGAAGUAAGCAAACAGCUGUGUAGUGCUUGACUCCCUGACUUGUUAAACCACAAAUUCUGUAUAUGAUGCUUCUUUGCACUAACACUUCAUAGAGAAAUACAAUGCCACAUCCCUGAAAGAGAAGUUCAAAUAUAGAAUAACUAUAGCUAUUACUAAGUUUGCAAUAUAUUAUUAUUUAGUCCCUGUAUUUGGUGCAAUUAGUGGGAUUAUCAUUGAUUUCAAAGUUCUUACACAUCUUGUUUCAGGAAAACAUCACAAGCAUGCAGAUUAGCUACGUGCUUCUACUUUUUCUGUCUUUUACAUCACUCUCAUUAUUCAUAUCCCAUUGACAUCACUAAAGACUUCACUGGGAGUAUGGCAGCAGUAGAAUUAGCAGUUGCAAGUAUUAUCCAUUUUCCAGGAAUUGAAGCAACAAUACAUGCAGAAAAGUGUGACUAAGCCAUACACAACCUCUGGAAGAUAAUGUUGCAUUGCAGUUUGCAAUCCCAAGCUUUUAAGUCUUUGAUGCUAGCAUUUCAUGGUUCAAAAUAGAAGAGCUUAUUCACCUCAAAAAACACCUCGUAUUUACAGGUAUGAAAAAGUAAGUCAUCACUAUGAAAUAAAACAGUUCAUAACACUUACUUAGAACAAAAAUAUUUAAUUCAAUUUGACAUGCUAUGAGUUACAAUGGGUUAAGAGAACUAAGGGUUUUCAGGCCUGCAAAAAGGAUAUAGCAAAGGCAGAUGCUGAAGUCUAGGAAAAAUAGACUAAAAAAUAAACAGAUGAGAUCUAAAUAUUAUGCACAGUAUUUAAAAACAAACAGGAAAAAACCCCAACUCUAAUAGAAUAAUCAACAGCUUUGUGAAGUGAAAUAUUCUGUUCAUAAAUCAUGACAGCUCCCCCUGAACUAAGCUGAUUUACAACACAGAACUAAAAACAACAAGCAAAAAAAAAAAAAAAUCUGGAAAACAAAACACUCAUACAUUACAAAAUAAACCGCAGGAUUAGUAGAAACACAAGAGACUUCUGACGGUCUUUUAAAUAGCUCCAAGGAGAGCUUCAGUCUUCUGAAAUUGAAUUCAUAAGAGUGAAAAUGAAAACAGUCAACCCUGAAACUUUAGCAAAUCGGUUUUUUUUGUUGUUGUUUUUUUUUGUUUUUUUAAAAGACAGCUUCUAAAUUCAGUAGAAAUUUUUUCCAGUUUCAGUUUAUGACAGGAAGAUUGCUUUUUAAGUAAAAAAUGAAUCAACACUAACUAUGCUUUGGAGACCAUUUAAAUCAGUAACUGGGCUGAAAAUUUCAUAUAUAGCCUUAUCCAAAAGCAAUUUAAUAAGUCAGAAAAUAAUUCCACUCUAAGUAUAUUGGUUAUACUGAAUUCUACUUUUAGUUAUUUUGCAAAGGCAUCUCAUACUUGUUAUGUCUUAACAAACAAGAAUAAAAAUGAGAGAUCCUUAUUUUUAAUAGAAAUCUGAUAAGACACUGAGAGAAAGAGAGAUAAACUUACUGAAAAGAUUUUAAUACCUUCCCAAUAGGAAAAAAAAUCAUAAUUGACUUUUCAGAAGACUAAAAUUUGAGGACAACUUUACGAUUUACCCAAAGUGUGCUUCUACAGUAAUUAAGAUUUCCAUCUAAAAGCCAUGGUCCUUGUUUGACUAUCUGAGAGGCACUAAAUCUUCAACUACAUGGAAAAUAACUACAUCUAGUUCAAACAAUAUUACAGGAAUUUCAAACAGUAAGCUUCUAUCUUCUUCUCCAUAAAAGAGGGCUACUUAACAGAGCAGGUAAAUGCAAAUAACAUAUUUUUUUAAUGCAUGAGAAAGGUAUUCUCAAUUUACAUUUAAAUUAUCAAAUAGCUUUUAAGUUGAUUUGUCUUCCAAAUCCCAGUUCCAUUAUCAGAAUUACUGCAUGCAUGUUAGUUCACUUUUUGACUCUGUCUGAGGGAACUAAUUUUGAGAGGUUUUUUUUGGUGGUGGUAUUUUUGUUUGUUUGUUUGUUUGUUUUGUUUUGUUUUGUUUUUCCCCUAAAGCAGAAUUUAGGUGAAGUAUAGAGCAUAAUUCACAUUUGUGAGACUCAGCCACUAGCAGAAUUCCACUAAAAUAUGGUUCCUAAAUCUACAUAUCUCUACACAUUUGUUCAGUGGAUUUUGCACUUCCAAAUUCUCAAUAGAAGACCUUCAGCAGGACAUGUGAUUUAUAGGAAGCUGUAAAAAAAAAAAAAAAAAAAAAAAAAAAAAAAAGGAAGCAAAAGUAGAGCAUCUGACUUAAUGUUCUAUGAACUAAGAACCACUUGCAAAAAUAUUUCGUAACUACAGAAAUGCCACGUGGAUCUAGAUAAAGUAGAUAUGCCCAGUUGUUAUGGAGGGUGUCUUUGAUAGGAAGGGAUCCAGGAUCAAGUCAGUGCCCAGCACUAGAUCAAGGCUAGGUCUCACUCUGCAGAAAGGUGGCUUCAGCAGUGCCUCUGGGAAAAAAAAAAAAAAAAAAAAAAAAAAAAAAAAAAAAAAAAAAAAACAGAAGAAUUUUCCAAGAAAGAGAACAGAGCAACGGAUUAUCUGUCAAACAGCUCCACAGCCAAAGAUCACUGAAGCAUUGGGUCCUGGCUGAGAGAUAGCACCACAGGUCUCCAAGGGCCACAAACAUUGAAAGAUUGAGGACCUCUGCUGCUCGAUAAUUUUGUCCAGAAGCCCACUGGGGAUUUCCCAUACCACUGGGAUAGUAAACAAUACAGACAGAAGGGAUUUUCCAAUAAAAGUUUCAAAGAAAAAGCAACAACAACAACCACUAGGAAUCCUAAAACCACAGACACAGAAAAUGUGAUGCAGCAUAACACAACUAACAGAAGCAUUGUUCUUCAUCAGUAAAGAAAUCAAAAACAAAACCAAGCAAGACUGUUUUCCCUAAAAAUCUUUCAUUGCAAAUUAAAUACAGUAGUUUAUACGGAACCCAGAAGAGACUGACAUACCUGAUCCAUCAUCAUUUGUAAUUAUUUCCAAUCAUGAAACACUUUUGAGAUACCAAUCUAGAAAUUGAAUCAGAAGGACAUUUACUUUUUAAUAUUAAAAUUUUAUAUGCUAUUCUUAAUAAGCAGACUAGUAGAUAUAAUACAAGAUAAAAUAUCCUAAUUGUUAUUUCACACAUCAUUUCAUACUUACAUACAUCACAUAAAACAAAAAAAAGAUCUGAAAUAUGAUCAGCUAGUGUAGGAGGAAUAAGUCAAGUUGUUUAUCAAGUAGGGAAGUAUGAAAACAAGUAGACUUACACCGCUGAUGUGAAAUAAAGAAUUAGAAAGCAUUACUUUCAAUCUCAACAUGACUAACAGCAACAUUAUUUUAUAUUCUUAAUGACCUCAUAAACAUGCCGCUCUAAUGUCGAACUUGAAACGAUUAUGUUUGUUAUUAUAAAUAUACAGGUAAAUUUUAAUUUUCUAAUAUUUUUAAACCAGAGAUAAAUUCAUUAAAAAAAUGCAUUUUCUGGAAGAAGGAUUUGGCACGGUAUGAAACCAUAUUUCCCCUGGGCUCACAACAUCAAAAAAUACAAUAUUUUUCUGUGUGGUUUCAAAAAUGAGUUCUGUUCAGCUUGAGGGUAGCUUCUACUUUACACUGAAGAAGAGAAAGAUUUACUCACACUCUCCACUGCAAAACUGAAGUAGAUUAUCCCUCA